rnacentral:tRNA from 2 species
GCGGGUGUAGUUUAGUGGUAGAACAUGACAUUGCCAAUGUCAAAGCUGGAGUUCGAUUCUCCAUACCCGCACUA